rnacentral:tRNA from 1 species
GGGCCAUAGCUCAGCGGUAGAGCAUCUGCUUUGCAUGCAGAAGGUUCCAGGUUCAAUUCCUGGCAUCUCCA